UGAAAAAUGGUACAUUCCUCAUCAUGGAGUAUAUCACUCAAAAAAGCCGGACAAGUUGCGAGUUGUAUUUGACUGCUCUGCAAGACACAAAGGUAACAGCCUCAAUGAACACCUACUGUCAGGUCCGGAUAUGAUAAACAAUCUAACAGGUGUUCUCAUUCGCUUUCGCCAGCAUCACAUUGCUUUGAUGUGUGACACUGAGAAAAUGUUCCAUCAAUUUCAUGUCCCAAUUAAAGACCGUGAUUAUCUACGUUUCUUGUGGUGGACAAAUGGAGACACUAACACACAACCCCGAGACUACCGAAUGAAAGUCCAUCUAUUUGGUGCAGUGUCUUCUCCAGGUUGUGCGAACUAUGGGCUAAAACAGCUGGCAAAAGAUAACAGUCAUUUAUAUCCAAUGGGUGCACAAUUCAUUGCAAGAGACUUUUAUGUGGACGAUGGAGUAACAAGUGUAGAGUCAGCAGAAAGGGCUAUUGAGCUGGCACUAGAAGCACGUGAACUAUGUGCAAAUGGUGGUCUCCGUCUUCACAAAUUCGUAUCAAAUAGUAAUGUGGUCCUACAGAGUAUUCCUCCAUCAGAACGUGCAACAGACACUAAAACGAAAAACCUCACAUUGAAUGAUAUGUCUCUUGAGAGAGCACUUGGAAUUCACUGGGACAUUGAAAGUGACAGUUUCACAUUCAAAAUUACAGCAAAGGACCAACCAGCAACACGUCGGGGCAUACUGUCCACUGUUGCCUCCAUCUACGAUCCCCUGGGUAUUGUCGCUCCAUAUCUCCUUAAUGGCAAAGGGAUCCUGCAGGAGAUGUGCCAUCAAGGUACUGGUUGGGAUGAUCUACUACCUGAAAGACUAAGGCCACGGUGGGAGAGAUGGCUAGAUGAUCUCACAAACUUAGAAAGAAUUAGUAUAGCCCGAUGUUAUGUACCAACUAACUUUGGGAAGGUGAAUAAAAGGGAACUACACCACUUUUCAGAUGCUAGCAAUAAGGGAUAUGGUCAAUGCUCCUACCUGAGGUUGAAAAAUGAAAAGGGAGAAGUUCAUUGUGCUCUUAUCAUGGGCAAGGCCCGUGUUUCUCCUUUGAAGGUAGUUACCAUACCCAGACUGGAACUGACAGCAGCAGUAGUCUCAGUCACAGUUAGCAACAUGCUCAAAGAAGAGCUAAGCUACACCAACGUGGAAGAGUUCUUUUGGACGGAUUCCAAAGUUGUAUUAGGGUAUAUAAACAACGAUGCUCGACGCUUCCACACCUUUGUAGCAAAUAGAGUACAGAAAAUACGCCACUGUUCGAAUCCUCAACAGUGGGCCUAUAUAUCAACUGAUGAGAAUCCCGCCGAUAAUGCCUCCAGAGGAAGAACGAUAGAUGAGCUACUUUCAUCUAAUUGGUUUACGGGCCCCAAGUUUUUAUGGGAAAAGGAAAUUAAACCUUCAACAGAAUUGAUCCAUGAUCUUCCAAUAGGAGAUCCGGAAGUCAAAAGGUCCCAUGUACUUCAGACAAGGACCAAAGAACAAGUGACCCUUGCAGACAGGCUGUCUAAGUUUUCCUCAUGGUCACGAGCCAUCAAAGCAGUAGCACGUCUUUUACGUCGUGUAAAGAAAGACAAAUCAAAUACACUCUCCACGGUAAAAGAAAGGCAAAGCGCAGAGCUUCUUUUCAUCAAAGAUCUACAAAAGCAAGCUUAAGAAAAUGAAAUAAAGCUGUUGAGCAAGGGAAGUCAAUUGCCAAUUCACAACAAACUGUACAGUCUUGAUGUCUUUCUGGAUAAAGAUGGUGUACUCAAGGUGGGAGGAAGACUUGGUCAUUCAUCCUCCUCAAGUUCAUUCAAACACCCAAAGGUCAUCCCUAAAGGUCAUCACAUAACCAGUUUGAUAAUUGCUCAUUACCAUGAGAAGGUAAAACACCAGGGCAAAGGCUUCACUAUCAAUGAAAUCAGAUCCAAUGGCUAUUGGAUUACUGGACUAAACAGAGCAGUUGCAUCUCACAUUCAUCAGUGUGUUACAUGUCGAAAGCUCAGAAGACCAGUUGAAGGUCAAAGAAUGAGUGACCGACCUACAGAACGGGUAGAACCCUCACCACCGUUCACUUUUUGCGGGAUGGACUGUUUUGGUCCAUUUCUGACUAAACAGGGCAGAAAGCAACACAAAAGCUCUUACGGUGGUUUAUUUUGUAUUAAUGCUCAGAAGGUUUAACGUAAGCUGUCAAGGAGAAGCAAUAAAUGCAAUUUAUACCAUCA